UCGAUUCUGAAGGAUGUGCUGGCUUAACCGCAUGUGCACUCCGAAAUCUUCAUCCACCUGUGCACUYUAUGUAGGCUAAGAGGGAGCAAUCCUUCUCUGCCUAUGCUUUUAUAUACCCCAUAUUAAAAUCUUAUAGAAUGUUAAAGUAGGCUUGCUUAACACCRAGUCGAAAUUUAAAA
rnacentral:misc_RNA from 1 species